GAAGGUCUUCGGAUCGUAAAGCACUUUCGACCGGGACGAAAAACCUCUGGCUAACAUCCAGGGGCCUGACGGUACCGGGAGAAGAAGCACCGGCUAACUCUGUGCCAGCAGCCGCGGUAAUACAGAGGGUGCAAGCGUUGUUCGGAAUUAUUGGGCGUAAAGCGCGUGUAGGCGGCUUGGCAAGUCAGAUGUGAAAGCCCAUGGCUUAACCAUGGAAGUGCGUCUGAAACUGCUGAGCUUGAGUGCCGGAGAGGAUGGCGGAAUUCCGCAAGUAGAGGUGAAAUUCGUAGAUAUGCGGAGGAACACCGGUGGCGAAGGCGGCCAUCUGGACGGCAACUGACGCUGAGACGCGAAAGCGUGGGGAGCAAACAGGAUUAGAUACCCUGGUAGUCCACGCUGUAAACGAUGAGAACUAGGUGUCGUGGGUGUUGACCCCCGCGGUGCCGUAGCUAACGCAUUAAGUUCUCCGCCUGGGAAGUACGGUCGCAAGAUUAAAAACUCAAAGGAAUUGACGGGGGCCCGCACAAGCGGUG
rnacentral:rRNA from 1 species